AUUCCACAAAUCGGAGCAGUCAUUAAUUUUUGGUUAUCAGAUUAACUUUUAAUGUAAAAAGUAAAUUAAAACUAAAUCCAAUACAACCAUAACUUUAACUACCCCAACAAACCAUAACUUUAGAACUCGGAUUAGAUACCCGACUACUAUAUGGCCCAACAUAAAAAAGAAUACUACAAGCGAAAGCUUAAACCUCAAACAAUGUGGCGGUGCUUUACUCCCCAUCAGGGGAUCCUGUGGCUUAAUUCGAUAAUCCACGAUAAUCUUAGCUACUCUCGUGCUUCCAGCUUGUGUAUGGCCGUUUAUGCUUGCUCGAAAAAGAAAAAAAAGGAAGCAAUAGAACUAAUUCAUUCAAAAAUUCAGGUGACAUACAGCCAAUGGGGAGCAGAUCCAUGGGAUACAAAUAAAUAUACUAACAGAUUUAAAGUUACAAAUCUUUAAUGAAGGAGGACUUGAAAGUAAGACUUAAUUUCCACAAAAUAAGUCUGAAUAAGAACUAAAGCGCGUACAAAUCGCCCGUCACUCCGACAACAAAGUAGGAUAAGUCGUAACACAGUAGGGGUAAUGGAAAUUGCCCCUAUCACA
rnacentral:rRNA from 1 species